UCUCCCGUCUCAAGCACUGUCCGUCCCCUGCCUCUCUCGUUGCCAGCAGCGCCUGGAGAGGGUUUCAGCCGACCAGCCAGUGAGCAGAUGGCACAGAGCCCUUCUCUGCCAUGGCUUUCAGCACCUGCAGGAAAGGAGAAGUGGCUGGAGUGAACUGGGACCAGCCACUUAAAGGACUGCUUAUCUUUGUUUUGUGAAGUACAAAGUGAAUUUAGAGGCAGCCUGGCUCCAGCCCACUGAAAAGGCAGCCAGCAGGGAUCUCUGCACUUCCCACAAUGACUCGGAGCUGGUCCCAGGUGCUUCCAUGCCUUUUGCCAAGCACGAACACUUAGAGAUUCUUCACCCCUUUAUCCAUCAAGGUCCAGAUCAUUUGCCUCAGCCCAGGAGCCACCCACUGCUCUGGUUCAAGACAACACCCAGAAGAUUGUUCCAAACAAGUGGCUGGAACCUCCUGGCAUGGCCCCAGGUGCUAUCCUGUCCUCACUUUUGCAGAGAUGGCAUCAUAAAUAUUCUCAGCAGGGAACUUGCAGAGUCUCACAAUCAGGAGACACAAUGGCAGUGCCUUGAAUCCCAUCAGUGUCUCAUACAGUAACAAAGAUAAAUCAACAACAGAGUCAGAUCAACUGUGAUAAUUUAUCAGGCUCCUCCUGCUUCAGAAACAACUGUCCAUUGUGCUUUCCACAGCAAUUCAGCUUGCUUGUAGCACAUGCAUAUUUGUCCACAUUUUUCCACAUUUUCAAUAUAUCCUGUCUCCAUUAGUCUUCAAAAGCUAUUCCUGACUUGUGUGUUAUGACACAAGUUCCUGCUUAUGACAUAGUAAGAGACAACAAAGUUUCAAAGAUCACCUAUUAUUUACAAGUGUGUCUGGGAAGAGGAAGACUGAUCAAAAGGGAGACCCUCUUAUGUCUAGACAUUUCUGCAUGAAUAAACACAAUUAUGAUGAAACGCACACCUACAUAAGGAGAAAACUCUAUAUGAUUGUAUUCACACCAGGUGAAAUUAAUCUCCUUGUCUGAACUUGUCCACAGAUCUUUGCAUAGCUUUAACCUCUGUAAAUGCUAGCAAGUAAAACAAGCUUGUUUGUCUGUUCUUAGCGUGAAGGCAGAGCCCAGAAAACUUUAAACUAUUAAGAACAUAAAUAAGAAUAAAUUAGGAACAUUAGGACAAAGUUUUACAGUAUAAGAAUAGGAAUCAUAGCAAGAUUAAAAUGCUUUUUUCAGUAGUAUUUUGUUGUCAUAGUUAUUUGCCCUUAUGUUAAACCCUCCUACUGGUGCCAAAGCAGUAAACCUGAGAUAACACCUACAUUUUGAAUGCAAUGGAAAAUU